AGAUCGUCACCUUGUGACAUCAGCACAUGGCUUUUGUCUUAGUUCCGAUGUGCCAUGUGCCCUCGUCAAUUGUCUUGACCCCACCCAUCUUGUUACCUGAUUAUUGAUGUAAUUUUCCCCACAUGUGUUCCCUCGUUACCCUCCUCAUUAGCUCCCUAUUUAUUCUCAUUGUGUUUGCAGUCUGGUUGUUAGUUCGUCGUCAAAUAUUUGUCUGUGUUCCUCGUGCCUUGCCUUGCCAGUCAAGUUUUGUAUGUUUCCCCUACAGGGUAGUUUUUGUUUGUUUAUCUUAUUUUUUUUAUUAUUAAAGAGCCCUUCUCUCUGCAUCAUUGAGUCCUCGCCUCAUCCCUCUACCUGAACCCUGACAGAAAACAAAUUCUCAGAUUAUGUAAUCCGUAUGUAGCGGACAUAGUAUAGUGAAUGUCUAAAUAUGGUCAUGAGUUGCCGUUUACUAGGUGGAACCAAUUAAGCGGAACUGUUUUACCGGGAGUCAUAAGACAGACACCCAUUCACACAUUUCUAGCACACAAGCAAGCUAAAAGAAGGUGAAAUAAUGGAAGAAGUUUUUGAUGUUCCCUUUGAAUCCUCCUUUCGGUAAGCAGCUAAUGAGAGUACAUUAUAUUGGUCGAGUCUGGAAGAUCAGAAGUCGCAGGAGCUUUUGGAGUCGAUGAGAGAUGAAACCUGUUUCUCCUUAAGGUACCUCUGGGUGUCUCUAUAAGGCUUACCAGAUAGCAUGAAGUAAUCGGCCCAGGCUCGGCUGCCCCACGGCAUCUCCAGCUCAGACUUGGCAUUGGCGAGUGUUAUCAGGGCUGAGUAUCUAUGGAAGGUUUCCAAGUGAUACCGGCUUGAGGAGGCAAUGGGAAGUUGCUAUAAGACAGGAGGGUUUUGUUGUGACUGAGUCGUCAAAGCUCUGUAGUGAGCACUUCAAGCUUGAUGAUUUUGACAGGACGGGUCAGAUUGUGUCAGGCUUAGAGAUGGCGCGACUCCAUCUGUCUUCAACUUCCCAUGUCAUCUCCAAAGACCUGUAGUGACAAGGAACACAAAAACUUCAAGGAAAGCUGAAGAGAGCCUACCAGUGGACCUUUCUCAGCAUUUCCCUGAAAGUGAACCUCAGCCCAAUGAU